CGGGUGAGUAACACGUGGGUAACCUGCCUAAAAGAAGGGGAUAACACUUGGAAACAGGUGCUAAUACCGUAUAUCUCUAAGGAUCGCAUGAUCCUUGGAUGAAAGAUGGUUCUGCUAUCGCUUUUAGAUGGACCCGCGGCGUAUUAACUAGUUGGUGGGGUAACGGCCUACCAAGGUGAUGAUACGUAGCCGAACUGAGAGGUUGAUCGGCCACAUUGGGACUGAGACACGGCCCAA
rnacentral:rRNA from 1 species